rnacentral:rRNA from 1 species
AUACGGAGGAUGCGAAGCGUUAUCCGGAUUCAUUGGGUUUAAAGGGUGCGUAGGCGGCUUUUUUAAGUCAGUGGUGAAAUCCUGCCGCUUAACGGUAGAAUUGCCAUUGAUACUGAAGAGCUUGAGUACAAUUGAGGUAAGCGGAAUGUGUAGUGUAGCAGUGAAAUGCUUAGAUAUUACACAGAACACCGAUUGCGAAGGCAGCUUACUAAACUGUUACUGACGCUGAUGCACGAAAGCGUGGGGAGC